rnacentral:rRNA from 1 species
UAACAAUGAUUUCCCCAGUAACGGCGAGUGAAGAGGAAAGAGCUCAAAGUUGGAACCUGUUUGGCUUAGCUAAACCGGAUUGUAAACUGUAGAAGUGUUUUCCAGGCACGCCAGGUAAAAAGUCCUUUGGAACAGGGCAUCAUAGAGGGUGAGAAUCCCGUCUUUGGCCUGAGCAGUUGCCUUUUGUGAUACAUUUUCAAAGAGUCAGGUUGUUUGGGAAUGCAGCCUAAAUUGGGUGGUAAAUCUCACCUAAAGCUAAAUAUUUGCGAGAGACCGAUAGCGAACAAGUACCGUGAGGGAAAGAUGAAAAGAACUUUGAAAAGAGAGUUAAACAGUAUGUGAAAUUGUUAAAAGGGAACCGUUUGGAGCCAGACUGGCUUGACUGUAAUCAAUCUAGGCUUCGGCCUGGAUGCACUUGCGGUCUAUGCCUGCCAACGACAAUUUUUUUUCUGGGAAAAAACCAAGAGGAAUGUGGCCCCCCUUCGGGGGGGGUGUUAUAGCCUCUUGGAAAAUACCAGGAAUUGGAUUGAGGAACGCAGCGAAUGCCUUUAGGCAAGAUUGCUGGGUGCUUUCGCCGAUAGGUGCUAGAAUUUCUGCCUUGGGUGGUGCUAGUGUUUAAAGGUGGAACUCGCCUAGUAUUAUUUUUUAUUCGCUUAGGUUGUUGGCUUAAUGACUCUAAAUGACCCGUCUUGAAACACGGACCAA